rnacentral:lncRNA from 1 species
AAAAACAAAAGCUUUCUCUCAAACUCUCUCCCUACCUUCCAUUAUCCGGCCAAUGCUCCGGCGCAGGUCCACCGUGGCGAUUGUCGAUCGCCAGUGACGGCACUGCCGUCUACGAUGGCCGAUAAUCAAAAUUUUGUCAUUUUAUUGGCUUUUUGACUCCCGACACCAUUUUCACACCAUCUAUCAUCGGAGAUGGUCUCCUCGGCCACCCACGGCUGUCCAAACACAAGAAAGGUGAGAUUGUUUUCUUUUUUGUUUCGUUUGCUUUUUUAACAAAAGAAAAACAAAAAGAUGAAAAAGAAAAAAAGAAAUACGAAAGUAAAAUGAAAUAAAAAAGACCACCUUUUGAAACUUUUUCUGCUUUUGAUUCUCUUUGUGUAUUUGUUCCUCCAAAAUACAACGAUGUUUGUAUGGCUUUUAUAUAGCCGAAAAUAAAAAGAAAAAAUAAUACAUUUUGUCUAUCAUUUGUGCUGUUGUCCUUCUUGUUUUUUCUUGCAAGUACGGAGGAGGCUACGUGGAGGUGGAUGGAGGUAAGGGUGCAGAGGGCCUUCGUGGAGGUGGAUGGGGGUAAGGGUGCAGAGGGCCUUCGUGGAGGGGCUGUGGAUGCAGCUUGGGGGUGUUAGGGUUUUCUUUUAGCUAAAAAUGUUUUAGGUUUUGUUGGCUAGGGUUUUGUUUGGGCCUGGGGUUAAUUUGGGUUAGUUUUGGUUUGGGUUGUUUUGGGAUUUGGGUUUUAAAUUUGUAUUGGACUUGGACAUUUUAUUUAUUUUGGGUUUUAUUCUAUAAAUUGGGCCAGGCUAAAAUGGCCUAUUACAAAGUUUUCUG